CGCCUGAGAGAGCACUUGGUCCGAGGAAAGAAAAAAAAAAAAAAAAGAUCAAGGAAUGAAAACCUCAGCGACGGACAUAUAUACUAAUCCUGGUUGCCAUAUCUUGCAAAUAGUGUUUUGUUUUUGUUUUGCAUUUAAUGCAUUUAACCUCGUGCACAAAGUAUUUGAGUUGCAGCUGUGCUGAACUCCAGCAGCGGGAAGACGAGAAGUCCUAUAGGAGGAGAGGAUUAGUGAGUUCUUCUGUGGCUUUCCAAGUAAAGUUCUGUGAUACACUUUGGCUCUAAUUGUUUGCAGUCAGUGCAUUACAGAACUUUGUUUUGGGAGUUUAAUGCUGUGGCCUGGAGGAAACAAACGUUACAUCUGGAAGGGAGGAACAACACCACACAAGCCCCCUGAUGUCUCUUCUUCAAUGAUCAUGCACAAACAAAGUUGUCUCACUUAGUUAUGAUUACUUGCAACACAUGCAUUGUAAUAUUAACCUAAAAUAAAGCACAAAAACAUGUUUUGAAACACAAAGACUAGUAUUUAUUUUACACUAAUUGAUUUUCUUGAUCAUCCUACAAAUGUAGACACUGACUGUGGGGGAGGUUAUAGCACUUAUGACUGUGAGUAAAAGGACCAUUAUGUGGCCUAGCAGCUUUAAAAAGCCAGUGUGUAGUGUUUGUGGCGAGUUGUUAUACAUCCAGAUCCACAGGAGGCAGACUACAAUGAUGUUGACUGUUUAUGCUGUUUUCAGAGCAAAAUGCUUUAAGGUUAGAAUGGUCGGGAUGGUAAUGGAUACUGAUCCAGUGUAAAACAGCAGCUUCUGCUCAGAUCUGCGCAUGCCUGGUCAAAGGUGCACAACUCUUCAGAAGAGCCCAGGGUUUAUUUCUGCUUCAUUCCUGGGAGAGGCUCCGGAUCUACUGCUACCCAGACCAGGAUAAAACAGUGACUGAAGAUGAAUGAUGAAUGAUAAAUAUAGCUCUUUUUUUUGUUAAAAGAUCUGAAAUAAAUAAAAGACAUGC